rnacentral:rRNA from 1 species
CAGCCGCCGCGGUAAAACGGAGGAUCCGAGCGUUAUCCGGAAUUAUUGGGUUUAGAGGGUGCGUAGGCGGAUAGAUAAGUCAGUGGUGAAAGACGGUGGCUCAACCAUCGCAGUGCCGUUGAUACUGUUUAUCUUGAAUAUGGAUGAGGUAGGCGGAAUGUGGCAAGUAGCGGUGAAAUGCAUAGAUAUGCCACAGAACACCGAUUGCGAAGGCAGCUUACCAAGGCAAAAUUGACGCUGAGGCACGAAAGCGUGGGGAUCGAACAGGAUUAGAUACCCCUGUAGUCCCUGUCUCUUAUAC